CUCCUGUGGUUCGGCCCGCAAGCGAGCGGAUCUCGGACUAAAAUUCCCAGAAUGCCUCAUGCUGCCUUCGCUGGAAGACGGCGACCCUGAAGCAGGGGCUGUCUAUGGCAGCGGGGUGGUAGGCCUGGCCCAGCUGGUUGAACUGAGUGGAGUUCGAACCCGGGUCUCUUGCUGGGCCAGGUUUUCAGGGUCGCACCUCCAAAGGGCUCGUAACGGGGCCUUCAGGGGCGGGGACAGCCACGGUUGUGCUGGGGUUGGGACGAGAUGGGCACGCGGGAGUUGGACCAUUGAGAGGUCGCCAAAGUUGCCAUUGCACAAGAGAAACAAGCAUUCCCCCCAGUCCCCAGCCCCAGAUACGCUUUGCAUCCCAGUAAGAGGAGAGGCACACCCGGGACACAGAUGAGUGCCUCCGACGCCUUUCUGCCCAGGCAUGCAAAGGUGGGUUUUGAUCUAGUGGAGGAUGGGAGAAAGAGGGAGGGGAUUGUGGGAAAAUCUGUUCCCAAGGGAGUGAGCUGCAGCCAGAGUGCAGGUAAAAAUUUUCACCAUCACUGAGAGCUGUGACAAGGAGUAACCGAAGCUCACACCCAGGCCUUGUACUGGGCGCUGCCUGCACAACAGUUCCUUGCCACUUACAGGGUAAGGCCCAAUAAAGAAUUCUUGUAUGAUCAUUCUCUCUCUCUCUCUCUCUCUCUCUCUCUCUCUCUCUCUCUCUCUCUCUCUCUCUCUCUCUCUCUCUCUCUCUCUCUCUCUCUCUCUCUCUUGUCUCAUGAUCAUUCUAUCUCUUUCUCUCGACUCAUCAGUCUCUCUCUCACACACACACACACACACACACACACACACACUGUAGCCCAGAAACGCACUAUAUAUGGCCAAAGUUCCCCAACUCAUACAGGUGUGAGCUACUUACUAUACCAGGUUUUCUUUUUCUUAACAAGGUCU
rnacentral:lncRNA from 1 species